UUUACACUGUACGUAAGUGCGAUAAGGGGACUCCCAGUGCUUAGGCAUUGCCUAGGCUUUUGCCAACUGUAAACAGGUUGGCGAAUAAGGGGUGGGUAAGACGGGUGCCAGCCGCCGCGGUAACACCUGCGCCCCAAGUGGCAAUCGCGUUUAUUGGGCCUAAAGCGUUCGUAGCCGGAUUAAUCAGUCUUGGGUGAAAUCGUUGCGCUUAACAAAACGACGUGCUUGAGAUACUGUUAAUCUAGGGACCGGGAGGCGUCAAGGGUAUUCCUGAGGGAGCGGUAAAAUGCUAUAAUCUCAGGAGGACCACCUGUGGCGAAGGCGCUUGACGAGAACGGGUCCGACGGUCAGGGACGAAAGCUAGGGGAGCAAACCGGA
rnacentral:rRNA from 1 species